rnacentral:rRNA from 1 species
ACGGAAUAGAUACCCCGGUAGUCCACGCUGUAAACGAUGAUUACUCGAUGUUGGCGAUACACAGUCAGCGUCUGAGCGAAAGCAAUAAGUAAUCCACCUGGGGAGUACGAUCGCAAGAUUGAAACUCAAAGGAAUUGACGGGGGCCCGCACAAGCGGAGGAGCAUGUGGUUUAAUUCGAUGAUACGCGAGGAACCUUACCUGGGCUCGAACGUAAGAUGACUGUAGGUGAAAGCUUACAUCUCUUCGGAGCAUUUUACGAGGUGCUGCAUGGUUGUCGUCAGCUCGUGCCGUGAGGUGUCGGGUUAAGUCCCAUAACGAGCGCAACCCCUACCUUUAGUUGCCAACAGGUCAUGCUGGGGACUCUAAAGGAACUGCCUACGCAAGUAGUGAGGAAGGCGGGGAUGACGUCAAAUCAGCACGGCCCUUACGUCCAGGGCUACACACGUGCUACAAUGGCCGAUACAGAGGGCAGCUACCUGGUGACAGGAUGCAAAUCUCCAAAGUCGGUCUCAGUUCGGAUC